rnacentral:rRNA from 1 species
AUUGAACGCUGGCGGCAGGCCUAACACAUGCAAGUCGAACGAGUGGCGGACGGGUGAGUAAUGUAUGGGAAACUGCCCGAUGGCGGGGGCUAACUACUGGAAACGGUAGCUAAUACCGCAUACCAUCGGAUGUGCCCACAUGGGAUUAGCUAGUAGGUGGGGUAACGGCUAACCUAGGCGACGAUCCCUAGCUGGUCUGAGAGGAUGACCAGCCAAACUGGGACUGAGACACGGCCCAGACUCCUACGGUAGGAAGAAGUGGGGAAUAUUGCAAAAUGGGCGCAAGCCUGAUGCAGCCAUGCCGCGUGGAGGAAGAAGGCCUUCGGGUUGUAAAGUACUUUCAGCGAGGAGGCGUUACUGGCAGAAGAAGCACCGGCUAACUCCGUGCCAGCAGCCGCGGUAAUUC